AUGUUUGACAUCUUUAAAUCAGAAAAAUCUUCUGCACAAAGUUCCCUACAGCAGGUUGAGAGCAGCUAACGGCUCAGUGGUGCGAAACAACGAGACCUUCAGCCAAAACUCCAGGAACCAGGAGACGUUCGUCCCUCUUCCUGUUUCUGCAUGGAGACACUUUCCCACUCCGGGUUUGGGUUUGUGGUCCUUCUUCCUGCACCACCUUUUCUGGACGAGCUGGACUCCUGGCGAGAAGAGAGCGGAACAUUUGUUGUGCAUUAGCGUCCUGACAGGAAGCUGCGGGCUGAAGGAGAGACGGCACCUGGGCGGCGGCCUGACGAUUGAAGGGCUACGCUAGGUGGACUGAAGCGUCCCACCUCCCUCCGCCGACCGCACGGCCCGGCUCAGAUGCCGCUUAUUGGAUCCAGGCUGAGUGGAUUUGGGGGAGGAGGCCCGGCUCCCCCGCCCACAAACCACAACAGAAGGGCGACUUUGGCGCUCUGGUGUCUCCAAACGGCAGCGAGCAGCAACUGCCUGAAGUUCUGCAGCCCCGCCUCCCGUGGUCACCGUCCCACCCCGACGCCGCUGCACGCCACUGGCCGCCCUCGCGUUGACCCGGGCCAGAGAUGGGCCGUCUGCGUCGACCGGCCGACACCGAUAAUCCCUCCGCUCGCUCUGAGCCGCCAGUUCCCAACAUGGAUCACAGCCUCUACUCCAACCCCUCCCUGAAGUGCUGC
rnacentral:lncRNA from 1 species